GUAUUCAGUGAAUUAUUCUUUUUUGUAUAUUUAAAAAAAAAAAAAAGAAUAAAUAAUAAUAAUUUUGUGUUUAAAGUUAAGGAAAUAUCUUGUUGGGUCCUUUUGCCUUUUAAUGUAGUUUAAAUAAAUAUUUUAGAUAGUUAAGAUGGAAGGUUUUUCACAGUUGCUCCUCAGUAGGGACUGCUUUUGGGGGGUGGGAGGGAAACAGACUCUCUGCUUGAUGUGCACGACACAGUAGCUGACUAAUCUUGGUGAUUAAUUGCUUGUGGAAAGAUGUGGGAUUGUCAUCAGUAGUGCUUAUACCUUUCAUCGCACGGGUCAAUGAACAGGCAUGAACCCUUCCCACCCCUGCGCUGCACAGCUUAUUGGACUAGAACCUUGCCCUGAGUGAUGAGAAACUAGCUAGCUCGGCAUGAUUGUUCAAUACCAGGCAUCUUGGGUUUGUUAAUAUAUCAAGUCAUUGGCCAUGUCCUGUAGACUAGUCUGCCUCAAUGUGUAGAUUUACAAAAAGAUUGGAAAUGUGAUAUUAUGAAGGACAAGCAAUGGGUACAGACAUGGGUGGGUGGAUCUACUGUGGUAAAAAUAACUCAUUGGUGAAUAAUUGGUUUACAGAGAAACUGUAAUUUAGUGAUGCACAUGGCCAUUGGGGACCCUUUUUUUAAUUAAUUAUUGAAGCAAAAUAAUAAUUAAAAAAUAAAAUAUGGAAGUAAUACAAUUUGCAGUGUCUUGAUCAAUAAGUGAUCCUUUAUUUAGAAACAAUUACAGGAGCUUUAUGUAUGCUUAUUGGGAUAUUUAUGGACAUUUUGAGAAUUUUAAAUGUGGGAUAGCCUCAUUUUAAGCUGUUAGCCUUGUGGUCAGGAUGCUUGCUUAGAAGCAGCCUCCUAGUGAUGGCUUUAUGUAUUUUGGAAGUUGUUUGCAGUAAAGACAGACUUGCAGGCCGCCUUUUGGUAAGUCAGUACUAAGGAAUUCAACCAAACAUUAUCAAUAAAAGAAAAGAUGCAUGUUUUUGGUUUUAGUCUGUACAUUUCCCAUAAGUACCUUGUUCAUAUAUUCAUCAGUUUUUGAGCGAGUGACUGAGGAGAAUUGUCAAAAAAGCACUUGGUAUGAUUGGCUUGUUCUUACUAUUGAGCUGAUUUGACCCUGUGCCCUGCAAGCUAUACAGCAGCGUCAAAAUGUAAUUCAAUGUAUUAGAGUUAGAAGCAAGGUGAAUAUUUGCUGGGUAUUUCCAGUGGAGUUGAAUGAAACAGGGUAAGGCCUCCAUUUUUGUUAUGAAGUUGACUCAUUUCCAUAAUGUCUUCCUCCACCCCCAAAGCAAAUUCUGAAAUUCAUGGAUUCAUUUAUUUAUUUAACAGAAAGGCAUUAAGUCCAAGCUUUUCCUUCACAUAAAUGUACACUUAAUGGAAGCCUGCACCAGAAACCACAAGACUCCUCCUAUAUUUUAGAAAUUACAA